AGAUAUAUUUCAAAGGUGGACUAUUUGGUGGGCAAAUAAUUGGUUGGAUGGUCACAGCCAGAGAGUUGUGGUCAGUGGAUCUGUGUCCAGGUGGAGGCUGGUCACAAAUAGUGUUGUCCAGGUGUCUGCUUUGGGACUGGUAUUCUUUAGCAUCUUUAUCAAUGGCAUAGAUGGUGGGAAUGAGUGCACCUUCAGCAAGUUUUCUGAUGACACCAAACUGAAUGGUGUUGUUGAUAUGGCAGAAGGAAGGGAUGUCAUCUAGAUGGAUCUUGACAGGCUUGAUUGUUUUGUCUUCUCUCUACCCACCUCCAAAGUGUGAAAUGCCUCCAGAAAGCUGUGAAAGAUCCUUAUCACAUUAUUUGUCGACCAUGUGCUAGUAAACUAGAAGUUUGUGCCAAAUGUGGAAAGGAAAAAGAGAUUGUAAUUCCGUAAGUAGCUCACAGAUUAUAUAGCUUCAGUACUGUGCUUCUUUUUUCCCCUUUUUAAUAAGGCUUGCUUGGAAACUAUACAAGAUACUGUUAUGCUUCAUGCCAGAUUCUGAAUAAUCCUGACAGUAAUCAGUAGAAGUCAUCAGCUUCAUUUUCUUCUGCUGAAACCAGGGUGGAAUGCUUAUUGAUGUUAGUGAGGCUGGGCCAAAUAAGUCUUACUUGAAUAAGACAUUUUAUUUUAAUACCAAAGAGAAGAUUGCAUUUCUUCCUUAGGAACAAAGUACUUUGAAAUAGAUUUAAAUAUAGAGCAUUAUAAAACAUACAUAAGCCAAUUUACUGUUUGCUUUUUGUGUGUCAUUUGAUGAUUCAGUUAUCAUGAACAGAAAUAAAGAUGGGCUGAUAUUGAGCACAGUUACCACUGUUUUUAGCAGUGGUUUCCUCUUUUUUUAUUCUUUUAGUAAAUAAGUCACCUUUAUUGAGCAUCCUAUAUUAAUUUACUAGUCUGUGAGAGCUCACCAGCAGUUAACUAGUUAGUCAGACUAUCUAUAUAUACAAUCAUACAUAUAUACGCUGUGCCUGGAAAGAUCAUGGAACAGAUCCUCCUGGAAGAUACGUUAAGGAACAUCAUGAAUGAGCAGGCAGUCUGAGACAGCCAGCAUGGCUUCAUCAAGGGCAGAUCAUGCCUGACCAGUCUGGUCACCUUCUGUGAUGAUGGAAUGACAGCAUCUGUGGGGCAAAGAAGGGCAGCUGGU
rnacentral:lncRNA from 1 species